AAACAAUUACGCUUUAAAUAAAAAUACACUUAAAUGUAAAAUAUUAUUUUAGUAUGAUGAUUUGAUAGAAUAAACAAUAUAUUCUAUUUUAAAUAUUUUUAUUCGAUAAACAAUUCCCAGUAGACACUUUAUGUAUAUUCAACGAAAAUAUUUAGGUGAAUUUUGGUGUAUUUCGUAUCCGUAGCGAUUUUACUUAAAAUAUAUUUAGGAAAAUAAUUCGCGAAGAUAAGAAAAUUUUUACUAGCGCACCGUGAGCGUUUAACAUUUUUUGUCGAUACCGCUUAUUGUCGUCAGCCUUUUUCGAUUUAAAAUCUGAAAUUUUUACCAGGACAGUAUAGGAAUAUUAGGGAAACCGCUUCUGGAGAAUACUUUUUUUGCACCACACAUUUCAUGGCCGGCGAAACCGGAUACUCUAACCGAAAUCAGUCAGAAUUGUCCGAAGAGUACAAAGAGCUGCAAGAUCGUGAGGUCUACUGGUCACCGGAUGUGCCUAACUAGGUGCCGAAGCUAAGCACACAAAUAUAAUUGAUAGAUUUUUUGUUUAAAUAAUUCUUAUAAAAAUAGAAAUGAAAUUAACGUA